ensembl:lncRNA
CAUCUGUCCACACAGCUUGGUUCAGGGAUUGGGUCUUGAGGCACCCUAUCUGCACUGAGAAAAUGAAUCAAGAGGUACCAGCCUCAGGUCGUGAGCAUGGUUGAAGGAGCAGCAUCUGAACAUCCUGGGUGUAAGUUUCCCAACUCAUCUAGGAGCUCAUUGGAGGAACUGUAUACAGAAACAAUGGGGAAUCUGGACCACAAAGCCUAGAGUAUGUGUGAUAACAAUCGCGUGCCUGUGCAGAAGGACCUUUUCUUCCGUUAGCUGUGACCCUUUGAAAGUGAACAAAGUAAGUUGUGGUUUCAUUGUGCUUAUUUUCUUGUGACAUCCCAGCUACCCCUUGCACAAACCCAAACAGUAGGGGCUAGUUUGACUUUGAGCAUUUUCCAUGAAUCAACCACAUUUGACAGAGCAGGUGAACAAAGGAGCCUGAAAGAGUGAAACCCUUCCAGCCGCACAAGCGCCCUCCUGCUGCUACUCAGGCUGUCUCUCCACCCCCACUCCCCUCCCCUCUCUGCACCUAGCAGGCCAGGGCAGCCCAGGGCGAGAGGGGCAGGAAGUUGCUGAGAAGCUGGAAACCACAGCAGACACUGCCCUUGGGGCCCUGGUGGGGAAAUCAGUUGCACCAAAUUUUCUGCGAUUUGCAAGUUUACCUUCUUGCCUUCUAUGCUUAAUACACUGUUUCAUCCCAAUGAAGAAACAGUUCCAAAUCUCUAAGACGAGGGUGGUGUGUUUUGUCUAGAGAAGUCUGAUGAAAUUCAUGAGAACCUAGGAGCUGACCUAGAUUAGAUUUCAUCUGUCUUGUGGAUGGUUGUUUAUUUAUUUUCAAAUGGAGACCUCCUUUUUGUUUCACAUGGAUUUGUUUCACACACACUGAAGCUGAGUGUAAACAGAUAAGCAAAAAGCUUUCCCAGUUGUGAAUGAGACAUUGUUGUAAUUCUAGUACAUAAAAAAUUUUCUGUUAAAAAGAUCUAUUAGAGAAAAUUGGAAAAAUGUACCAUCACUUAUUUUUUCCUCCUUGUCCUAUAAAUUGAACAUUUUUUUUAUGCCUUUGCCUUUUUUAGAAAUACACAGACACACCUAGAAAUGUACACAUAGACAUGCAUAGUGUUGUAUUUGUUAGUAUCAUUACCUAGGAGAAAAUAUAGUUAAAGGACAUGAACAUUGUUUCAUAGAAAAGGAAAUUUAAUAGACUAAAAUAUGUGAAAAAUGCUUAUCUCACUCAUAAUAAAAGAAAAGCAAAUUGAAAUAGCAAGCACAUACUACUGUUUACUCAUCCAACUAGCAAAAUCCUGACAUUUCACAGCACUGUCCUGGCAUUCACGUAUCUCUGGUACAAAUGCAAGAUAGUGAUAUCUCCACUGGCCAUAUCUAUUAAAAUGACCAAUACACACAAUCUUAAUGACAUAAAACACGAUUGGAAUUUUAGCAUUUAAAAAAUGCAGCAAAAUGUGUAAAUAAAACAG